GGGUAAAUGCAAAUACAAUAAAUAAAUACAGAAUCAGAAUGUAAACUGAAUGUGGCAAUCAACAUACAAAUUAGGAUCCAAGCCAUGCUAGUUAGUGCUUGAUUUUCUACCGCGGAUCACCUGCUUACUGAAGUUUUCUCCCUUCUCUUUAUCCGGCCCUGAUCUCUCCCACAUUGGAUAAAGGACAUCAGGUGAGAGAAGACAGGUAGCUUAAGGAUGCUGCUCAGCUUACACCAGAGGAGCAAUGACUGAUGUUCUUACAAGAAGAAAAGAAACAGAGAAAGAAGGCAGCCGUGUGUUGACGAGGCAGAGACUACAGUGAGGCGGUCACAAUCCAAAGAAUGCUCGGGGCCACCGGAAGCUGAAAGAAGCAAGGAAAACUGACUGGGAAGGCCUGGGAAAGGAAAAAGAAAAGCCUGCUGUCUUUGCACCUGCUCUUAAAGGAGAAGUAGUCUUCAGGAGGAGAAGGUGGAGGUUGGAGGGGCUGAAGAGCACACCUGGCCAGUGGAAAGGAGGCAUAAAGAGAACAGGAGCAGGAAAUUUAUGGCACUGAAAUGACACUUGAGGGAUGAUCAUUCUUUUCAACUUGCGUGGAACAGCCUGGGGGAGAGACAUUAGAGGCAUGUGCUGCAGCCUGAAGGCGCCCAAUAAAAUUUCUCCUCUCCCCGUCCCAGUUCUGAAAACCCGAGAGCUUUAUUGCUGAUAA